GCCCAAUAGCUAGCCCCGCAUCAAAAGCAACAAACCACCAUUUAUACCCCCAAAUACACUAAAUAUCCUUCAAACAAACCAUUUUUCCCCCCAAGUAUGGGCGACAGAAAAGGGAACUACAGGCGCUAUAGAAAAAGUACCGCAAGGGAACGCUGAAAGAGAAGUGAAAUAACCCAGUGAAGCUACAAAAAGCAGAGAUUUUCGCUCGUACCUUUUGCAUCAUGAUUUAGCCAGAAAUGCUCAGGCAAAGAGAACUUUAGUCGGAUGCCCCGAAACUAAGUGAGCUACUCCAAGACAGCCUAUUAAUAGGGCACACCCGUCUCUGUGGCAAAAGAGUGGGAAGAGCUUCGAGUAGAGGUGAUAGACCUACCGAACUUAGUUAUAGCUGGUUGUCUGGGAAUUGGAUAGGAGUUCAGCCUCCCGGCUUCUUAUUUCAUGUCCGUCUUUGCACCCAACAGACCCUAAAGAAACCGCGAGAGUUAGCCAAAGGGGGUACAGCCCCUUUGAAACAAGAUACAACUUUUCCAGGAGGGUAAGGAUCAUAAUAAAUUAAAGUAAAAUGUUCUGGUGGGCCUAAAAGCAGCCACCCUUAUAGAAAGCGUUAAAGCUCAGACAUUAAACUCACUCCCCAUUCUGAUAACUUAUCUCACCCCCCUAGCUCUACCAGACCGACCCAUGCAAACAUGGGUGUAACAAUGCUAAUAUGAGUAACAAGAGAGUUAAGACUCUCUCCCCGCACACCCGUAACUCGGAACGGACUGACCACCGAACUUUAACGGCCCCAAACAAAGAGGGCAAUGAAUGACGGACUAGACAACUAGAAAAACAUUCAACUUUUACCGUUAACCCCACACUGGUGUGCCCCCAGGGAAAGACUAAAAGAAAAAGAAGGAACUCGGCAAACACAUGAAGCCUCGCCUGUUUACCAAAAACACCGCCUCUUGCUGAAAAUAAAGAAUAAGAGGUCCCGCCUGCCCUGUGACUAUAUGUUUAACGGCCGCGGUAUUUUGACCGUGCAAAGGUAGCGCAAUCACUUGUCUUUUAAAUGAAGACCUGUAUGAAUGGCACAACGAGGGCUUGACUGUCUCCUUUUUCAAGUCAAUGAAAUUGAUCUCCCCGUGCAGAAGCGGGGAUAAGACCAUAAGACGAGAAGACCCUAUGGAGCUUUAGACGCCAGAGUAAAUCAUGUUAAGCACCUCCUAAUACGAAGUUGAACCAAAUGAAUAAUUACUCCAUGUCUUUGGUUGGGGCGACCGCGGGGAAAUAAAAAACCCCCACGUGGACUGGAAUUAUAUAAUUUCAAAACCAAGAGCCCCUGCUCUAGUUAACAGUAUCACUGACCAAUUAAGAUCCGGCAAAGCCGAUCAACGGACCGAGUUACCCUAGGGAUAACAGCGCAAUCCCCUUUUAGAGCCCAUAUCGACAAGGGGGUUUACGACCUCGAUGUUGGAUCAGGGCAUCCUAAUGGUGCAGCCGCUAUUAAGGGUUCGUUUGUUCAACGAUUAAAGUCCUACGUGAUCUGAGUUCAGACCGGAGUAAUCCAGGUCAGUUUCUAUCUAUGGUAUGAUCUUUUCAGCUACGAUAGGACCGAAAAGAAGAGGCCCAUGCUUCAAGUAUGCCUCUCCCCCCACCUGUUGAAGACACCUAAANUAGGCAAAAGGCNGUGCCCCCUUUGCCGAAANAUUACGCCA
rnacentral:rRNA from 1 species